rnacentral:rRNA from 1 species
AACGAACGCUGGCGGCAGGCCUAACACAUGCAAGUCGAACGCUCCGCAAGGAGAGUGGCAGACGGGUGAGUAACACGUUGGAAUCUUCCUAUCGGUACGGAAUAGCUCAGGGAAACUUGAGGUAAUACCGCAUACGCUCUUCGGGGGAAAGAUUUAUCGCCGAUAGAUGAGCCCGCGGCUGGUUAGCUAGUUGGUGAGGUAAUGGCUCACCAAGGCGACGAUCAGUAGCUGGCCUGAGAGGAUGACCAGCCACACUGGGACUGAGACACGGCCCAGACUCCUACGGGAGGCAGCAGUGGGGAAUAUUGGACAAUGGGCGCAAGCCUGAUCCAGCCAUGCCGCGUGAGUGACGAAGGUCUUCGGAUUGUAAAGCUCUUUUACCAGGGACGAUAAUGACGGUACCUGGAGAAUAAGCCCCGGCUAACUUCGUGCCAGCCGCCGCCGUAA